AGCAGUCGCCGCGGUAAUACGUAGGUGGCAAGCGUUGUCCGGAAUUAUUGGGCGUAAAGCGCGCGCAGGCGGAUCAGUCAGUCUGUCUUAAAAGUUCGGGGCUUAACCCCGUGAUGGGAUGGAAACUGCUGAUCUAGAGUAUCGGAGAGGAAAGCGGAAUUCCUAGUGUAGCGGUGAAAUGCGUAGAUAUUAGGAAGAACACCAGUGGCGAAGGCGACUUUCUGGACGAAAACUGACGCUGAGGCGCGAAAGCCAGGGGAGCGAACGGGAUUAGAUACCCGUGUAGUCCCUGUCUCUUAUACA
rnacentral:rRNA from 1 species